CCCUUAGAUGUCCUGGGCCGCACGCGCGCUACACUGAGUGUCUGAGAUACGAGUCUGCCUGGUCCGGCAAGGUCUAGGUAAUCGCUAAAAGACACAUCAUGCUUGGGAUAGAUUAUUGCAAAUAUUAAUCUUGAACGAGGAAUUCCUAGUAAGCGCAAGUCAACAGCUUGCGUUGAUUACGUCCCUGCCCUUUGUACACACCGCCUGUCGCUACUACUGAUUGGAUGUUUAAGCGAGGUUCUCGAACUGCUAGCGACUUAGCUUCGGUGAGGUCGCAGUGUGGGAAGUGAACCUAGCUUUGGUGUCUAGAGGAAGUAAAAGUCGUAACA
rnacentral:rRNA from 1 species